UUCUCCUUAACUCAAACACUAUACUUAAAUAUAAUGACAGCAUCCAUCUUGUCAUAAAACUACUAAACAGCUGAUACAUGAACAAAAUAACUCACAAGCUUUCAAAUUUGAGCAUUUUUAUUUCCUUGAAAUCAGGUUGCCCUCAUGUAAAUGUGUUUAUUUACAUUCAUUCAAGUGGCUACCAAGUGUUUUCUUCAAACAGGACACCUGACAAACAAAAAAUGUCAUAUUUAACGACAUGUUCACAUUUAAUAAUAUCCAGAGUACCUUUUAGUUAGAAUCACUGCCUUGUGGUAGUUUUGCCUCAGCCAAAUGGUUAAGGUGUGGUUUACAUCCAUCUCUGUCCACUUAUGAUACAGUAUACACAUGUAGUCAGUUAUAGCCAAACACCUUUGAUUACUGAAUUGCAUUCACUUCAUUAAUGAAGUGAAUGUAAUUCACAUUUGCGUGAACAUUUGUCUGAGAUUAACUCUUUGGGCUCUUUACCUUACAAUAUAACAUACUUGAGUCAAAAUUUGUUGACUGUUUAAGUGGUGCCACAUGAAUACAACUGAACAGAUCUAAAGAAGAUGUUCCUGAACUUUGGGUUUAUUCGAACAGGACUGAUGGAUAACCACAGGACUUUUCACCAUAUGAUAACUACAACACAUAAUAAGUUAAGACAGAUUACUGUCCCAAACUUAAAGAUAAAAGUGUAUUUACGGGACUUGUUUUGUCAGUGAGGAGCAAAGUAUAAUUAGAAGUGCUUGUUCUGAUGAAAAGUUAAACUGUAAACAGCAGCAUAGUGAAUAAGGAUCUGUGUCCACGAAUCCUCAGCAGUGACAACACUUAAACAUCAUAGUUCAAAAUCCUUAAUGCACACCUUUUUCUCCACGGUGUUCAAAUUCUCUAAGCUGGUUAAGUAGAGGAAAAAGUCUGACAUAUUUCAUGACCAUUAAAUGUUAGACAAGGCUCUGAAAACGAGGUUACAGUUACAAACAAAAACCUCUGCUUGUGCGCACAGACCCUAAAUCACAACAAAUAAGACAAUAGUAAGACAAAUUACUACAAAGUCUUGUUACCGCUCUUCAUAUAACAGUGUGACAAAG
ensembl:lncRNA